AGUGAACGCUGGCGAUAGGCCUAACACAUGCAAGUCGAACGGCAGCACAGUAAGAGCUUGCUCUUACGGGUGGCGAGUGGCGGGCGGGUGAGGAAUACAUCGGAAUCUACUUUUUCGUGGGGGAUAACGUAGGGAAACUUACGCUAAUACCGCAUACGACCUACGGGUGAAAGCAGGGGAUCUUCGGACCUUGCGCGAUUGAAUGAGCCGAUGUCGGAUUAGCUAGUUGGCGGGGUAAAGGCCCACCAAGGCGACGAUCCGUAGCUGGUCUGAGAGGAUGAUCAGCCACACUGGAACUGAGACACGGUCCAGACUCCUACGGGAGGCAGCAGUGGGGAAUAUUGGACAAUGGGCGCAAGCCUGAUCCAGCCAUACCGCGUGAGUGAAGAAGGCCUUCGGGUUGUAAAGCCCUUUUGUUGGGAAAGAAAAGCAGCAGGUUAAUACCCCGCUGUUCUGACGGUACCCAAAGAAUAAGCACCGGCUAACUUCGUG
rnacentral:rRNA from 1 species